UUGUAGGUUACUGGAGCCACUGUCCAAAUGCUGAAGAAGUCUAGCAGAGCUUUUGGACACUGCUGGGGAAUUCAACCUCGAAGAUAUAGUUUAAUCCAAAUCAAAAUAAAAGCUCACUCUUUAGAAAAUGGGAAACCAUAAUGUCACAAGU